rnacentral:rRNA from 1 species
UACGGGGGGGCAAGCGUUGUUCGGAAUUACUGGGCGUAAAGGGCUCGUAGGCGGCCAACUAAGUCGGACGUGAAAUCCCUCAGCUUAACUGGGGAACUGCGUCCGAUACUGGAUGGCUUGGAUUGGGAGAGGGAUGCGGAAUUCCAGGUGUAGCGGUGAAAUGCGUAGAUAUCUGGAGGAACACCGGUGGCGAAGGCGGCAUCCUGGACCGGUAUUGACGCUGAGGCGCGAAAGCUAGGGGAGCAAACGGG